rnacentral:rRNA from 1 species
UAACGCGUAUGCAACUUACCUAUCAGAGGGGGAUAGCCCGGCGAAAGUCGGAUUAAUACCCCAUGAAACAGGGGUCCCGCAUGGGAAUAUUUGUUAAAGAUUCAUCGCUGAUAGAUAGGCAUGCGUUCCAUUAGGCAGUUGGCGGGGUAACGGCCCACCAAACCGACGAUGGAUAGGGGUUCUGAGAGGAAGGUCCCCCACAUUGGUACUGAGACACGGACCAAACUCCUACGGGAGGCAGCAGUGAGGAAUAUUGGUCAAUGGCCGAGAGGCUGAACCAGCCAAGUCGCGUGAAGGAAGAAGGAUCUAUGGUUUGUAAACUUCUUUUAUAGGGGAAUAAAGGGGAGGACGUGUCCUUUUUUGUAUGUACCCUAUGAAUAAGCAUCGGCUAACUCCGUGCCAGCAGCCGCGGUAAUACGGAGGAUGCGAGCGUUAUCCGGAUUUAUUGGGUUUAAAGGGUGCGUAGGUGGUGAUUUAAGUCAGCGGUGAAAGUUUGUGGCUCAACCAUAAAAUUGCCGUUGAAACUGGGUUACUUGAGUGUGUUU